CCUACGGGAGGCAGCAGUAGGGAAUAUUGGUCAAUGGGCGAGAGCCUGAACCAGCCAUGCCGCGUGCAGGAAGAAGGCCCUCUGGGUUGUAAACUGCUUUUGACAGGGGCCAAAAUACUCAUGCGUGAGGAAUUGAGAGUACCUGUAGAAUAAGCACCGGCUAACUCCGUGCCAGCAGCCGCGGUAAUACGGAGGGUGCAAGCGUUGUCCGGAUUUAUUGGGUUUAAAGGGUGCGUAGGUGGCCUUAUAAGUCAGUGGUGAAAGCCUGCAGCUUAACUGUAGGACUGCCAUUGAUACUGUAGGGCUUGAGUACUGAUGAGGUAGGCGGAAUUGAUAGUGUAGCGGUGAAAUGCAUAGAUAUUAUCAAGAACACCGAUUGCGAAGGCAGCUUACUAAGGAGUUACUGACACUGAGGCACGAAAGCGUGGGGAUCAAACAGGAUUAGAUACCCUGGUAGUCCACGCCACUAACGAUAGAUACUACGUAUGUAUGNGAUAGUAGUAGUAGUGCGUCCGACGACGAAAGACGUUAAGUUAAGUACCUUACCGUUCGGGUAGGUUACGGACCGACCGAGGUUAGGUUAACGUACGAAGUUAGAAGUUAGACGGACGUUGAGACGUUGGCCGACGGACGACGACGAAGGGGAAGGUUAGGAG
rnacentral:rRNA from 1 species